CUUCAUCUAGCAAAAGAAAGCAUUUGAUUGGCCCAGUUAAUCGUUGAUUAACAAUGAUUAGGCCAUAUAUGGAGAUGUUUCGGGGAAAAGGAGAAUAGGGGGAAGUUGAUAUAUAUCAAACAAGGUAUGAAUAAGAUUAUGAAAUGAUAUGAUAUAUGGUAAUAGUUGAUUCAGAGCAGGUGUUUACAAAGAUGAACGAGAUUGAUCGCUAAAUGAGAAGAUUAGGAAUCGCCGAGCCUGGGAAAUAAUACAGAAAAAGGGGAAACAACAAGACAGAAAGAGAAAUUACAUCUUUUUCUACGUGACGGAAGCCAGAUGCAACACCGCCUUCCAAAUAUCUGAGUAAACAUCAUAUGGCAACAAUUUUUGCCUGCAUAUAUUGUUUAUGGUUUUCUUUCGACACUGCAUGUACCUGCAGAACUAUGUGAUGCAGCAGUUGAACUUACUCUCAUGAGGUGAAAAGUAAGUUUGCAGUUAGCAUAUUUUCAUUGCAAUUUCUAUCGCAGUAUCGGAACAUCAAGAAUAUCGCCAGUUGCUAAAGUUGUUUACAAUCGAUAUGAAUAAUAUCUACACAGAUGACAGAACAGUUUAUGUUACCUCUAUU